CUACGGGUGGCACCAGUGAGGAAUAUUGCACAAUGGGGGGAACCCUGAUGCAGCAACGCCGCGUGGAGGAUGACGCAUUUCGGUGUGUAAACUCCUUUUAUAUGUCAAGAAAAUGACGGUAGCAUAUGAAUAAGCACCGGCGUAACUCCGUGCCAGCAGCCGAGGUAAUACGGAGGGUGCAAGCGUUACUCGGAAUCACUGGGCGUAAAGGACGCGUAGGCGGGUUGGAAAGUCAGGUGUGAAAUCCUACAGCUUAACUGUAGAACUGCACUUGAAACUUCUAAUCUAGAGUAUGGGAGGGGGAGAUGGAAUUAGUGGUGUAGGGGUAAAAUCCGUAGAUAUCACUAGGAAUACCUAAAGCGAAGGCGAUCUCUUGGAACAUUACUGACGCUAAGGCGUGAAAGCGUGGGGAGCAAACAGGAUUAGAUACCCGCGUAGUC
rnacentral:rRNA from 1 species